AUUGAACGCUGGCGGCAGGCCUAACACAUGCAAGUCGAGCGGAUGACGGGAGCUUGCUCCUUGAUUCAGCGGCGGACGGGUGAGUAAUGCCUAGGAAUCUGCCUGGUAGUGGGGGACAACGUUUCGAAAGGAACGCUAAUACCGCAUACGUCCUACGGGAGAACGCAGGGGACCUUCGGGCCUUGCGCUAUCAGAUGAGCCUAGGUCGGAUUAGGUAGUUGGUUGGGUAAUGGCUCACCAAGGCGACGAUCCGUAACUGGUCUGAGAGGAUGGUCAGUCACACUGGAACUGAGACACGGUCCAGACUCCUACGGGAGGCAGCAGUGGGGAAUAUUGGACAAUGGGCGAAAGCCUGAUCCAGCCAUGCCGCGUGUGUGAAGAAGGUCUUCGGAUUGUAAAGCACUUUAAGUUGGGAGGAAGGGCAGUAAGUUAAUACCUUGCUGUUUUGACGUUACCGACAGAAUAAGCACCGGCUAACUCUGUGCCAGCCGCCGCCGUAAUAC
rnacentral:rRNA from 1 species